rnacentral:rRNA from 11 species
UCGCUCAGUUAGAGUUCUGUAAGGCAACAAAUCCUGUAUGAUCUUGGAAGCUAAGCAGGAGCAGCUAUGGUUAGUACUCGGAUGAGAGACUACCAAUGAAUAACAAUGAAUACUCUGGGCUAA